rnacentral:rRNA from 1 species
ACGUAGGCGGCAAGCGUUGUCCGGAAUUAUUGGGCGUAAAGGGAGCGCAGGCAGGAAACUAAGCGGAUCUUAAAAGUGCGGGGCUCAACCCCGUGAUGGGGUCCGAACUGGUUUUCUUGAGUGCAGGAGAGGAAAGCGGAAUUCCCAGUGUAGCGGUGAAAUGCGUAGAUAUUGGGAAGAACACCAGUGGCGAAGGCGGCUUUCUGGACUGUAACUGACGCUGAGGCUCGAAAGCUAGGGUAGCGAACGG